rnacentral:rRNA from 1 species
CACGUAGGGCGCGAGCGUUGUCCGGAAUCACUGGGCGUAAAGGGCGCGUAGGCGGAAUGGCAAGUCGGUCGUGAAAUCCUUCGGCUCAACCGGAGAACGUCGAUCGAAACUGCCGUUCUUGAGGAUUGCAGAGGAGACUGGAAUUCCCGGUGUAGCGGUGAAAUGUGUAGAGAUCGGGAGGAACACCGGUGGCGAAGGCGGGGUCUCUGGGCAAUUCCUGACGCUGAGGCGCGAAAGCGUGGGGAGCAAACGGG